rnacentral:lncRNA from 1 species
CUAAAAGCCAAAUUUAACAACACAUCCAGCCUCAGACUCAGCAACUAUACCCCGGACCAUUUGCAUCAUGCUUGGAGUAUACUGUUAGAAUACAGAAAGGCAGCUGUGUAAAGAAAUAAGGGUCAUGAAAUCUGAUGAAGAGUUUUGAGGUCAUGUACAAGAAGGUGGGAAAAUAAGGAGAUCAUCAGAAAAAAAAAAAGACUCAGAAGAAAACUAGUGGUUUUUUGUUGCUGUUUUGUGUUGUUUUUAUCAACUCUGUGCCAGCCACUCUGACAAUUCACAGAUGCCAUCUCAUUUGUAAAACCAUCUCAUCUGUAAAAAAGGCAUUAGGUAGGCGGAUCAAGGUUUACAUUCUCCAAGGAAGAAGGUCGAUGCCUGAGGGGUGUGUUGGAUCUUGAACAGUCCAGGAGGUGAUGGGAAACAUGGCCAAGCAAUAAAGAUGUGCCACAGGAUGAAUAGAAUUCACUGCCCAGAUUCACAUAGCCUUAUCAACAUAAGGUCCCUGGACUUUGGGACUCAUUCUGCUCAACUUGAUCCCCACUCUGCCCAUUGAUCACAUACACACGUUUACACCUGGCAGAAGAGGAAGAGGAGGCAUGAAUGAAUGGCCUCUUCAGAAUGGAGAAAAGCCUUCCCCAUGAGAACAUGCCUAAGACAGACUGCUGAAGAAGGCGGCAAGUGGAACAGCGUUGAAUCAGCCUGGUCAUCCCAGUCAAGCCUCCAGACAUGUAAGCACCCUCCUCUGAUCUGCAGAGCUGCCUGGCCCAAAUACUGUUGACCACUCUUGAGUAAGCCCCACCAAGAUCAGCUGAGAACAGUAGAACUGACCAGAUGACUCUAACCUCAUGAAUAAAUCCAAGUGUUUUUUUAUUUGCCUCUG